rnacentral:misc_RNA from 1 species
AACGCACGAGACCUGCGGACCUGCGGAGGGAUCAUUAUUGAAUCAACUUGGUUUGGGUUGUUGCUGGCUUUUUUAUGAGCAUGUGCACACCUAUUCCAUCUUUUAACCACCUGUGCACCUCAUGUAGAUCUGAGAAACUCGAGGAGAGACUCGGUUUGAGAAUUGCUGAGUGACAGCAAGCUGUUCUUGUUAUCAGAUCUAUGUUUUUUUUUUUUAUAAUAUACCCCAUAUGAAUGUAUU